AUGAGAUUCAUUGAAACUUGAAGAUUACAAUGCAUAAAUAGUGAUUAUCUAUACUAAUAUCUGUUACAAUAUGACAUAUAUUACUUUGAAUAAGUAGCAUGAAGAGACAAAUGAAAAGAUAGUUUAAAGUCGAAAAUGUUGCAGAGCAGAAGUCCCAUCAAGUCCCUUUGCAGUAAAAUAGGCAGCAUAUUCCUGAAUUGUUGUUUCUCUGUAUUUUGACGGAUUUUCUUCUGAUAACAACUCCUUAAUA
rnacentral:misc_RNA from 1 species